GGUGCGACAUUUGUUGACAUGGACUUGACAAAUUUUCCAUUUUAUUUUUUCGUACGUUUAUAAUUCAUGGAAAUGAUCAACGAGAUAUAUCUUGAGAUAAAACAUUUUAAUCAUGAAUUCAUACUUCAGCUUAACUCACAGCAUAUUAAAUAUGUAUAUACACUUACCAUACCGUUACUUCUUGGGUACGUGAAGAUUUAAAUCGAUUUCGUAAUUAUGCAAAGAGAUGCGUUGCAAUUGUAUAAUAUGAAACAACAAAAUAUUUAAAAUUUUAAAUCGUCGGUGUCUGAAUAGUGUAGCAAUGAAAAAUGAAUUCAGGGUUGUUAUGUGACUCCCGCGCGAACGUGGGCGUCACCUACGAUGAAGUAACACUGCAAUAUCUCGGGAUGCUCUUGAUUCUACUCGUUCCUACUACUAGCAAUAACGUUUCCAGGACAGUUAUUGCUUGAUGUCAUUUUAAGAUGCAGAGAGAGCAUAAGUAUAAAUUGCAAGUACUUGAAGAUCCAUAACAUGUAAGCAGAGCAUUUGUGCAGCAGGUAACUUGGCUAAGUUUGAUUUUCUACUCUACAUAUGUAGUUCAAAGGGAAUAAAAGUUAAUGUAAUGACUGAUUAUUAACGUUCAGGCGAUUUAGUAUGCUAUUAAUUUACGCCAAGCUUUCGAAAAGCCUUGACUGUAUACGUAGACUUGACAGAGUUGAAGUGAGAAUGGUGUGCAUUUGUCGUACCACCGGAUCUUGAAUGAAAUCAUAGUUUCCCAGCGGCGGUUCCACUUGGAAUUGCAUAGAAAAAUUAGUCAUAAGCUGUUUGGAUUCUAUUCGUCAGAUUUAUGGAUGUGGGAUGGGCUUGAUGAGCAAUAAAAAAAAGUAUAAAUGUAUGCAGAAAAAUUGUUGAUUUUCUGCAGAUAUCAUUUAGCCAGUUCUGUGAUGAUUAUCGAUCAGAUAUGCUAAACAAUGUGUGGAUAAUAAUAGAAAAUUCCACAGAUUACGUAUAAUCGUUUCUUGGUGUAAAUAUACCAUAUGUGUAUUUUUAUAUGUUGAGAUGUAUGUCGAGGAUCAUAAAAUAUUUUUUAUUAUUUAUGUACAUUUGUUCAUAGAGUUGCGGGUGAGGUCUUUUCUAUGUGACAAUCACCUCUUUAUUUUAUACAAUUCAUAUUUUACACGUGACUUCAUGUUAGACACAGAAGUCAUCAAUCUUAUCUAUUUAUUUAUGGAUUAAGUGUAGUGUUAUGAAAUAUUGACUGAUUAUUCUUGGGUUUUAAAAAAUAAUUCGAGUUCUUAGAAGGUUGCUAAUAUAUGCACAAGUGAUUGUCAUUUUUUUAUAGAUCAAAAAUAGUUUUCA